rnacentral:rRNA from 1 species
AUUGAACGCUGGCGGAAUGCUUUACACAUGCAAGUCGAACGGCAGCACGGGAGCUUGCUCCUGGUGGCGAGUGGCGAACGGGUGAGUAAUAUAUCGGAACGUAUCCAAUAAUGGGGGAUAACUAGUCGAAAGAUUAGCUAAUACCGCAUACGCCCUGAGGGGGAAAGCUAGGGACCGCAAGGCCUGGCGUUAAUGGAGCGGCCGAUAUCUGAUUAGCUAGUUGGUGAGGUAAAGGCUCACCAAGGCGACGAUCAGUAGCUGGUCUGAGAGGACGGCCAGCCACACUGGAACUGAGACACGGCCAGACUCCUACGGGAGGCAGCAGUGGGGAAUUUUGGACAAUGGGCGCAAGCCUGAUCCAGCCAUUCCGCGUGAGUGAAGAAGGCCUUCGGGUUGUAAAGCUCUUUCGCAAGGGAAGAAAACUUACCCUCUAACAUAGGGUGAGGCUGACGGUACCUUGAUAAGAAGCACCGGCUAACUACGUGCCAGCCGCCGCCGUAA